ACGGCCGCGGUACCCUAACCGUGCGAAGGUAGCACAAUCACUUGUUCUUUAAAUGAGGACUAGUAUCAAUGGCAUCACGAGGAUCCUACUGUCUCCCCCCUCCAAUCAGUGAAACUGAUCUCUCCGUGAAGAAGCGGGGAUAUUUAUAUAAGACGAGAAGACCCCAUGGAGCUUUAAACCCGAUGACACCCAUUUAUACCCACACCCUAAUAUUCCAUUUGGUUAUGUUCCUUCGGUUUUAGGUUGGGGUGACCACGGAGUAUAGCACAUCCUCCAUGAAAAAGGGAAUAAUAAUCCUUAUUAGAGAACAACACUUCAAAAAAUUAACACACUAAUUUACAAUGAUCCGAUAUUCGAUCAACGAACCAAGUUACCCUGGGGAUAACAGCGCAAUCCACUUCAAGAGCUCCUAUCGACAAGCGGGUUUACGACCUCGAUGUUGGAUCAGGGUAUCCCAGUGGUGCAGCAGCUACUAAAGGUUCGUUUGUUCAACGAUUAAAACCCU
rnacentral:rRNA from 1 species